rnacentral:lncRNA from 1 species
UGCUAAAUUUUGUAUAUUGUUAUCAAGAAAUGAGAAGAUUGAUAGUGUUAUUAGUGUUCUUGUUUUGCUAAAUUUUGUAUAUUGUUAUCAAGAAAUGAGAAGAUUGAUAAUGUUAUUAGUGUUCUUGUUUUGCUAAAUUUUGUAUAUUGUUAUCAAGAAAUGAGAAGAUUGAUAGUGUUAUUAGUGUUCUUGUUUUGCUAAAUUUUGUAUAUUGUUAUCAAGAAAUGAGAAGAUUGAUAGUGUUAUUAGUGUUCUUGUUUUGCUAAAUUUUGUAUAUUGUUAUCAAGAAAUGAGAAGAUUGAUAGUGUUAUUAGUGUUCUUGUUUUGCUAAAUUUUGUAUAUUGUUAUCAAGAAAUGAGAAGAUUGAUAGUGUUAUUAGUGUUCUUGUUUUGCUAAAUUUUGUAUAUUGUUAUCAAGAAAUGAGAAGAUUGAUAGUGUUAUUAGUGUUCUUGUUUUGCUAAAUUUUGUAUAUUGUUAUCAAGAAAUGAGAAGAUUGAUAGUGUUAUUAGUGUUCUUGUUUUGCUAAAUUUUGUAUAUUGUUAUCAAGAAAUGAGAAGAUUGAUAGUGUUAUUAGUGUUCUUGUUUUGCUAAAUUUUGUAUAUUGUUAUCAAGAAAUGAGAAGAUUGAUAGUGUUAUUAGUGUUCUUGUUUUGCUAAAUUUUGUAUAUUGUUAUCAAGAAAUGAGAAGAUUGAUAGUGUUAUUAGUGUUCUUGUUUUGCUAAAUUUUGUAUAUUGUUAUCAAGAAAUGAGAAGAUUGAUAGUGUUAUUAGUGUUCUUGUUUUGCUAAAUUUUGUAUAUUGUUAUCAAGAAAUGAGAAGAUUGAUAGUGUUAUUAGUGUUCUUGUUUUGCUAAAUUUUGUAUAUUGUUAUCAAGAAAUGAGAAGAUUGAUAGUGUUAUUAGUGUUCUUGUUUUGCUAAAUUUUGUAUAUUGUUAUCAAGAAAUGAGAAGAUUGAUAGUGUUAUUAGUGUUCUUGUUUUGCUAAAUUUUGUAUAUUGUUAUCAAGAAAUGAGAAGAUUGAUAGUGUUAUUAGUGUUCUUGUUUUGCUAAAUUUUGUAUAUUGUUAUCAAGAAAUGAGAAGAUUGAUAGUGUUAUUAGUGUUCUUGUUUUGCUAAAUUUUGUAUAUUGUUAUCAAGAAAUGAGAAGAUUGAUAGUGUUAUUAGUGUUCUUGUUUUGCUAAAUUUUGUAUAUUGUUAUCAAGAAAUGAGAAGAUUGAUAGUGUUAUUAGUGUUCUUGUUUUGCUAAAUUUUGUAUAUUGUUAUCAAGAAAUGAGAAGAUUGAUAGUGUUAUUAGUGUUCUUGUUUUGCUAAAUUUUGUAUAUUGUUAUCAAGAAAUGAGAAGAUUGAUAGUGUUAUUAGUGUUCUUGUUUUGCUAAAUUUUGUAUAUUGUUAUCAAGAAAUGAGAAGAUUGAUAGUGUUAUUAGUGUUCUUGUUUUGCUAAAUUUUGUAUAUUGUUAUCAAGAAAUGAGAAGAUUGAUAGUGUUAUUAGUGUUCUUGUUUUGCUAAAUUUUGUAUAUUGUUAUCAAGAAAUGAGAAGAUUGAUAGUGUUAUUAGUGUUCUUGUUUUGCUAAAUUUUGUAUAUUGUUAUCAAGAAAUGAGAAGAUUGAUAGUGUUAUUAGUGUUCUUGUUUUGCUAAAUUUUGUAUAUUGUUAUCAAGAAAUGAGAAGAUUGAUAGUGUUAUUAGUGUUCUUGUUUUGCUAAAUUUUGUAUAUUGUUAUCAAGAAAUGAGAAGAUUGAUAGUGUUAUUAGUGUUCUUGUUUUGCUAAAUUUUGUAUAUUGUUAUCAAGAAAUGAGAAGAUUGAUAGUGUUAUUAGUGUUCUUGUUUUGCUAAAUUUUGUAUAUUGUUAUCAAGAAAUGAGAAGAUUGAUAGUGUUAUUAGUGUUCUUGUUUUGCUAAAUUUUGUAUAUUGUUAUCAAGAAAUGAGAAGAUUGAUAGUGUUAUUAGUGUUCUUGUUUUGCUAAAUUUUGUAUAUUGUUAUCAAGAAAUGAGAAGAUUGAUAGUGUUAUUAGUGUUCUUGUUUUGCUAAAUUUUGUAUAUUGUUAUCAAGAAAUGAGAAGAUUGAUAGUGUUAUUAGUGUUCUUGUUUUGCUAAAUUUUGUAUAUUGUUAUCAAGAAAUGAGAAGAUUGAUAGUGUUAUUAGUGUUCUUGUUUUGCUAAAUUUUGUAUAUUGUUAUCAAGAAAUGAGAAGAUUGAUAGUGUUAUUAGUGUUCUUGUUUUGCUAAAUUUUGUAUAUUGUUAUCAAGAAAUGAGAAGAUUGAUAGUGUUAUUAGUGUUCUUGUUUUGCUAAAUUUUGUAUAUUGUUAUCAAGAAAUGAGAAGAUUGAUAGUGUUAUUAGUGUUCUUGUUUUGCUAAAUUUUGUAUAUUGUUAUCAAGAAAUGAGAAGAUUGAUAGUGUUAUUAGUGUUCUUGUUUUGCUAAAUUUUGUAUAUUGUUAUCAAGAAAUGAGAAGAUUGAUAGUGUUAUUAGUGUUCUUGUUUUGCUAAAUUUUGUAUAUUGUUAUCAAGAAAUGAGAAGAUUGAUAGUGUUAUUAGUGUUCUUGUUUUGCUAAAUUUUGUAUAUUGUUAUCAAGAAAUGAGAAGAUUGAUAGUGUUAUUAGUGUUCUUGUUUUGCUAAAUUUUGUAUAUUGUUAUCAAGAAAUGAGAAGAUUGAUAGUGUUAUUAGUGUUCUUGUUUUGCUAAAUUUUGUAUAUUGUUAUCAAGAAAUGAGAAGAUUGAUAGUGUUAUUAGUGUUCUUGUUUUGCUAAAUUUUGUAUAUUGUUAUCAAGAAAUGAGAAGAUUGAUAGUGUUAUUAGUGUUCUUGUUUUGCUAAAUUUUGUAUAUUGUUAUCAAGAAAUGAGAAGAUUGAUAGUGUUAUUAGUGUUCUUGUUUUGCUAAAUUUUGUAUAUUGUUAUCAAGAAAUGAGAAGAUUGAUAGUGUUAUUAGUGUUCUUGUUUUGCUAAAUUUUGUAUAUUGUUAUCAAGAAAUGAGAAGAUUGAUAGUGUUAUUAGUGUUCUUGUUUUGCUAAAUUUUGUAUAUUGUUAUCAAGAAAUGAGAAGAUUGAUAGUGUUAUUAGUGUUCUUGUUUUGCUAAAUUUUGAAUAUUGUUAUCAAGAAAUGAGAAGAUUGAUAGUGUUAUUAGUCUUCUUGUUUUGCUAAAUUUUGUAUAUUGUUAUCAAGAAAGGAGAAGAUUGAUAGUGUAAUUAGUGUUCUUGUUUUGCUAAAUUUGGUAUAUUGUUAUCAAGAAAUGAGAAGACUGAUAGUGUUAUUAGUGUUCUUGUUAUGCUAAAUUUGGUAUAUUGUUAUCAAGAAAUGAGAAGAUUGAUAGUGUUAUUAGUGUUCUUGUUUUGAUAAAUUUUGUAUAUUGUUAUCAAGAAACGAGAAGAUUGAUAGUGUUAUUAGUAUUCUUGUUUUGCUAAAUUUUGUAAAUUGUUAUCAAGAAAUGAGAAGAUUGAUAAUGUUAUUAGUGUUCUUGUUUUGCAAAAUUUUGUAUAUUGUUAUCAAGAAAUGAGAAGAUUGAUAGUGUUAUUAGUCUUCUUGUUUUGCUAAAUUUUGUAUAUUGUUAUCAAGAAAUGAGAAGGUUGAUAGUGUUAUUAGUGUUCUUGUUUUGCUAAAUUUUGUAUAUUGUUAUCAAGAAAUGAGAAGAUUGAUAGUGUUAUUAGUGUUCUUGUUAUCAAGAAACGUUUGACGCUGACCCUUUCGCAAAAUCUCUCAAAAAUGAAAGGCAAUGCCAUGGGGAAUUCUCCAUGGCUUCUGUUCAGUCAAAGAAGGAUAUGGAAGAUCACAACCAAGUCGAUGUAAGCCAUUACACACUGUUCGUUUGAAUUUAUGAUGGUUUCAAAAGCCACACCACUGCUUCCUAUAUUCGUACGCACAUCUUUAGGACUCUAUUAUGUGAGUUAUUUCUUUGCUUCUAUUUUCUUAGCAUACUAAUCUGUAUAUUGUUAUCAAGAAAUGAGAAGAUUGAUAGUGUUAUUAGUGUUCUUGUUUUGCUAUAUUUGGUAUAUUGUUAUCAAUAAAUGAGAAGAUUGAUAGUGUUAUUAGUGUUCUUGUUUUGCUAAAUUGUGAAUAUUGUUGUCAAGAAAUGAGAAGAUUGAUAGUGUUAUUAGUGUUUUUGUUUUGCUAAAUUUUGUAUAUUGUUAUCAAGAAAUGAGAAUAUUGAUAGUGUUAUUAGUGUUCUUGUUAUCAAGAAACGUUUGACGCUGACCCUUUAGCAAAAUCUCUCAAAAAUAAAAGGCAUUGCCAUGGGGAAUUCUCCAUGGCUUUUGUUCAGUCAAAUAAGGAUAUGGAAGAUCACAACCAAGUCGAUGUAAGUCAUGACGCACUGUUCAUUUUAAUUUAUGAUGGCUUCAAAGGCCACACCACUGCUUCCUAUAUUCGUACGCACAUCUUUAGGANACCAAGUCGAUGUAAGCCAUGACGCACUGUUCGUUCGAUUUUAUGAUGGCUUCAAAGGCCACACCACUGCUUCCUAUAUUCGUACGCACAUCUUUAGGAUUUAUUACGUGAGUUAUUUCUUUGCUUCUUUUUUCUUAGCAUACUAAUCUGUAUAUUGUUAUCAAGAAAUGAGAAGAUUGCUAGUGUAAUUAGUGUUCUUGUUUUGCUAAAUUUUGUAUAUUGUUAUCAAGAAAUGAGAAGAUUGAUAGUCUUAUUAGUGUUCUUGUGUUGAUAAAUUUUGUAUAUUGUUAUCAAGAAAUGAGAAGGUUGAAAGUGUUAUUCGUGUUCUUGUUUUGAUAAAUUUUGUAUAUUGUUGUCAAGAAAUGAGAUGAUUGAUAGUGUUAUUAGUGUUCUUGUUUUGCUAAAUUUUGUAUAUUGUUAUCAAGAAAUAAGAAGAUUGAUAUUGUUUUUAUUAUUCUUGUUUUGCUAAAUUAUGUAUAUUGUUAUCAAGAAAUGAGAAGACUGAUAGUGUUAUUAGUGUUCUUGUUUUGCUAAAUUUGGUAUAUUGUUAUCAAGAAAUGAGAAGAUUGAUAGUG